rnacentral:rRNA from 1 species
GACAGAGGGUGCAAACGUUGUUCGGAAUUACUGGGCGUAAAGCGCGUGUAGGCUGCUCGGAAAGUCGGAUGUGAAAGCCCUGGGCUUAACCUAGGAAGUGCAUUCGAAACUUCCGAGCUGGAGUUCUGGAGAGGAAGGCGGAAUUCUCGGUGUAGAGGUGAAAUUCGUAGAUAUCGAGAGGAACACCGGUGGCGAAGGCGGCCUUCUGGACAGUGACUGACGCUGAGACGGCGAAAGCGUGGGGAGCAAACAGG